CUAUAGUUCACAACCAUUUGGAUACCAGAAACUUGUUGCAGGAUGAAGGCGGACACUUGAAGAUCGGCGAGUAUUGGGUUCAAAUGCUGUAUGAGCAAACUAACCCAGAUCUAAAUGGGAAAAGAAGUGGCAAUCCCUGUAACAGUACCAAUCUAUUAGAUGGCACCAAGAAAGAUAUUCGUACAUUUGGAUUCAUAUAUUAUCAGAUGCUAGAAGGAAAUCACUUCAUGAACAACACGAACUCUGAUGACCAUCAGGAACAGGUCAAUUUUAAGCCGAAAUUCCACUUAAGUCGAUAU